rnacentral:rRNA from 1 species
CCUACGUGAUGCAGCAGUGAGGAAUAUUGGUCAAUGGACGAGAGUCUGAACCAGCCAAGUAGCGUGAAGGAUGACUGCCCUAUGGGUUGUAAACUUCUUUUAUAUGGGACUAAAAUGUUCCACGUGUGGGAUUUUGUAUGUAACAUAUGAAUAAGGAUCGGCUAACUCCGUGCCAGCAGCCGCGGUAAUACGGAGGAUCCGAGAUUUAUCCGGAUUUAUUGGGUUUCAAGGGAGCGUAGGUGGAUUGUUAAGUCAGUUGUGAAAGUUUGCGGCUCAACCGUAAAAUUGCAGUUGAAACUGGCAGUCUUGAGUACAGUAGAGGUGGGCGGAAGUCGUGGUGUAGCGGUGAAAGGCUUAGAUAUCACGAAGAACUCAGAUUGCGAAGGCAGCACACUGGACUGCAACUGACACUGAGGCUCGAAAGUGUGGGUAUCAAACAGGAGUAGAUACCCCUGUAGUC